CAUGGCAUAAGUCAUGGCAAAAUGUCAAACAUUUCAGGAGAUUAGCUUUAAAACUGCAACAUGUUCUCUCCAUCCCAUGGCAAAAUGUGUAGAACUGUAGGAAAUCAGCUUUAAAGCUGCACAUUUUUCUUUCUGCUGCUGCUAAAAAAUAAAAAAUAAAUGUAAAAAUCCCCUGGCCCUGAUGAACUGGACCCCCGCCUCCUACACCUAGCCGCAGACAUCAUUGCUCCCCCAUAACAUGUAUUUUUAACCUCACGCUCGAUGUUAAGGAAAUCCCCAAGUUAUGGAAAUCUGCUUUUGUACUGCCUCUCCUGAAAGGUGGAGAUCCUUCGCUACUUGACAACUAUCGACCCCUAUCAAAAUUGUCUGUACUGUCAAAGGUACUGGAGUCCUUAGUUAGUAGGCAGCUAAAUGUCUACUUCCAAGAAAACAGCAUCUUAGAUGGAAUGCAAUUAGGUUUUAGGUCUGGCCACAGCACUGUUUCAGCAACAUUGAAGGUUUUAAAUGACAUCCACUGUGCUCUUGAUAAGAAGUUACAUUGUGUGUCUGUUUUUAUUGAUUUGUCAAGGCUUUUGACACCGUGGACCAUGCUGUGUUAGUGCAAAGGUGGUGGAAAUACUGGUCAUGCUGUCACGAUCGUCAUGGGAAGUAGACCAAGGUGCAGCGUGUGUGCAGCAGACUUUCCAGCCUCAUUGAAACUAGGACAGACAGAAUUGAAAGCUCAGGAGAAACCAAGCCUCCAAACAAAACAGGUGACCUUCGCAAAUCUCCCAAGAAGAAAGAGUUGCUAAAGAGAGUUUGGAGGACUGCGAAACGAGUUAUCUGUGGCUGCUGUAGACAUGCCAGGAGCCAGGAGCCAGGACUAAAAUACAUAGUCAUUGUUGGCCUCGUUCGACACUUUGUAAAACAGACAAAUCAAGUCUUUUUCAUGCUUGAAUCUCUAUUUUGUCAUUUAAAGCAUUGUUGACAUGAUUACAUUCUUUAGUCAUUACAUUUUACAGGGUUGUUUUCUAAUUUUCUAACUGUGAAUUUGUGUGUAAAGAAUAUUCUAUUACAUCAGUGGAAACCCCUCAUAGAGUUACAGAAUCAGUACUUCACAUCACAAUUGGUAAAUAAUUACUUGAAAAAAGAUUUGCCCUAGUUGUUUUUAAUUCUAACGCAGAAAGUGUAUUAAAGGGAUUGGUACACAUCUAUUGUAAUCUACUUUAACCAUUAAAAGGGGGUGGCAACAGAUCUCGCCUCAUUAAAAAUCAAUGGCUCUGUCAGUGUGGUCUGCAAUGGGUCCCAUUAAGAGAGUGUAUGACUUCACAUUAGCACA